GGCAUAUGGGGACUUGGAUUUGACUGUCCAUCCUUUCAACAAUUAUUCCUGUAUGUACUCCUUCACCUCCUUAAACAGCGGUUUUGGGACAGAUGAGUAAGUUCUCUGUCCAGGAAUUUCAUCCUUGAGGGUGAUCGUUGUUGAAUCAGAAAAGUCCAUGUUGGGUGAGACCUGGCACCUGACUCAUGCUACCUGACCUGCUGGAAUGAGGGUAUCUUGUCUGUCUGUCCGUAGGUGUCCACACUGCACAGUGGGUUUGUUGGUCUGGAUGAAAUUCUCCAGGAGCUCUGCUGUUUCUGCUGGUAUCUACAUGGCGCUACUGAGCAGAGGGGUGGGAAUCAGCUUUUCAGGUUGUUCUUGCAUCAUCCCUUCCAGCACGUUAAAACCUAGCAGUGGCCUCUCCAAAACGAGACUGCUGACAAGAAAAGGGACAGUUAUUGACAGGCUCAGCGGCCUAAUGGUGAUAUCAGCUCUCCUCAUCCCCCAACUUGAAACAAGACAAGACACUGGAACGAUCGACGUGGCAAUCUGGAACAGUUCGGCUGAGGGGAGAGAGAGCAAAUCUUUCUUGAUGGCCCAAAAUCAAGCUUUUCCUCUCGACGUCCGCCAUGGCUGCACCCCUAUUCCUCACACUGGGUCACACAGUCCAGGAUCUCUAUUCAGUCUCUGUCCUCGUUGAUUGGUGUUUUCUGCACAGCACUGUCACCACAGUUACCAUAAAUAUUCAUAUACACAUUUACAUAAACCGUCCAAAUAUGAUUUGGCUGUUACUGCAUUGUAAUAUACGCUGAUACACAAACGCCAUGAAAUAUGACUGACCCGUUGACAGUAAACCUAUAUUAACCGCUAAACAUGUGCAAACCUAUACAAACGUGUAGUUUAAAAACUUUUCCAGCACAACACAAUUUAUAACAGUAUAUGGAGCCAACCUGUCGGCCUAUAUUAUUUCAGGCCAAAUUAGCAGAGACGUGUGGCCCAAAAUAACACCUACUUCAACACGCUCAUCACUUGUACAAACGGCAGGUUUAGCUAACGUGCUCAUUACUUAAGAAUUGUUUAUUUUUUUAAGGAAAAAGAAAACAGAUACAACCUCAAAUCAUGUACCACCUAAAACCUAGUUCUUACAGGCAUACAAAUGGGAUCCCACUCUAGUGGGCAUCACAUGUGGUAUUGAUCAUUUUCUAUUUGGUUUUAUCAAAAUAAAAUAUUUUAUCAGGCUGUUAUAGUGUUUUUUCUGUUGGGUAAAUGUAUGGAAUAUUGACUAUGUAUUUCCUGUUGUUGAGGCC
ensembl:lncRNA